UACAUGACCUCACGGGGGCAGGAUGACCCGCUAGACUUAAGCAUAUUAAUCAGCGGAGGAAAAGAAACUAACUAGGAUUCCCCCAGUAACUGCGAGUGAAGAGGGAAGAGCUCAAUGUGUGAAUCAGGCCGGGAUUAGCUCCUUGUUUGAGUUGUGCACUAUAGACGGCGGAUCAGCGUUUGGAAGCCUGUGGUGUAUGUCCGAUGAAACUCGGUGCCAUAGAGGGUCACAGUCCUGUACUUGCCUUAAGGCUUCUGCGCAUUUGACCGUCGCUCUGCGAGUCGCGUAGUUUUGUAUUGCUGCGCUAAUUGGGAGGUAGAGCCCUUCUAAAGCUAAAUAUGAUGACAUGACCGAUAGCACACAAGUACCGCGAGGGAAAGGUGAAAAGCAACCAUGCAGAAUGGGUUGAAACAGCAGUGAAAGCGUUACUGGGAUAAGGGUUGGGGAUUGCUUGUGCCGAUUGCGCGUGCUUCAGUGCUGCGCUGCCGGACGGCAUGCAUCGAUGCGGAUGGGGAGAACAGGUUCUUUGGGAAUUCGGCUGGAUCCGUCCAGUGUUGUAGCCCGAGGUUCAAUGGAGCCCCUCCUGAUCG
rnacentral:rRNA from 1 species